UUCCCCUAGUAACGGCGAGUGAAGAGGGAAAAGCUCAAAGUUGGAACCUGGCUGCCCUAGGCAGUCCGGAUUGUAAACUAAAGAGCGUGAUUCCAGGCAAGCCGGUUGACCAAGUCCUUUGGAAUGAGGCGCCACUGAGGGUGAGAGCCCCGUAAGUCGACUGAGCAUUUGUCUUUUGUGUUUCGCGUUCAAAGAGUCAGGUUGUUUGGGAAUGCAGCCUAAAGCUGGUGGUAAAUCCCACCUAAAGCUAAAUACAGGCGAGAGACCGAUAGCGAACAAGUACCGUGAGGGAAAGAUGAAAAGAACUUUGAAAAGAGAGUUAAACAGUAUGUGAAAUUGCCAAGAGGGAAGCAUUUGGAGUUAGAUUGACUAGGAGUUAAUCAGCUUGGUCUUUGGACUGGGUGUACUUGACUUCUUACAGUCUGCCAAUAGCAGUUAGUCCUAGUGGAAAAAACCAGAGGGAAGGUAGUCCUUCGGGAUGUUUAUAGACCUUUGGAAAAUACACUGGGAUUGACUGAGGAAUGCAGUAGAUGCCACUAAGGCUUCGUCUAGUGGGUGCUAGGCAAAGGUACUUGGUAUUUUCAGCUUGCUGAUGUGCUAGGUUACUCGAGUCUAGUCGCCUACUAGAACUGUAAUCUACUUUGGUUAUUGGC
rnacentral:rRNA from 1 species